UAUAAUUUAGUGUAUAGUGCACAUAGGUCUUUGAAGCCUAAAGACUGAGAUCAAACCUCACAAUUAUAA
rnacentral:tRNA from 1 species